rnacentral:rRNA from 1 species
GACGAACCGUACAAACGUUAUUCGGAAUUACUGGGCUUAAAGGGUGCGUAGGCGGUGCUGAAAGUUGGGUGUGAAAGCCCUCGGCUUAACCGAGGAACUGCGCUCAAAACUACAGCACUCGAGGGAGACAGAGGUGAGCGGAACUUAGGGUGGAGCGGUGAAAUGCGUUGAUAUCCUAAGGAACACCAGUGGCGAAAGCGGCUCACUGGGUCUCUUCUGACGCUGAGGCGCGAAAGCCAGGGGAGCAAACGGGGAUUAGAUACCCCGGUAGUCCCUGAGCGGG